CGGGGCCUCGCCUCAGGCCGUGCCGCCGCCGCCUCAGAUAACGUCUAGGAGCCCAAACGCUGAUGGAUUGUAAAGAAAAAGACCCCGAGAUGACUAGAGGAUAAUAAGGAUUUGAUUUCAGUCUCACAUUAUGGAAAACAUCAACCUCUGCUGUGUCUCCAUGUCCAAGAUUCAAAUUGCACCUUCACAUAAAGCAGCGUGCCGCUGCUAUCAACUUUCCCAUGGAAAUAUCUUUCCAGAAUGGGUAUUUUCCAUCUCCUUUACUAAUCCCAUUUUCUCAUCACAGCAACGUGCAGGGAAUUCCCUGUUUUCUGAAGUGACUGCUUUCUAUGAAUCACCCCUUCCCUGACACAUUACUCAAUCCUACCGGGGAGGCACAGGAUUCUCAGUUCCACAUCAUCUGGGCAGAAGGCUCUUAGCAGGUGAAAAUUCCAAGCAGUCCUGGCCCUUUCACUCUGCAGACAUCAAAAGUGCAUGGAGUUACCGCAGAGUGCCCCUGGCUCUCCGGUAGGGCUGAGCAACGCCAUCGCCCGGUUCAGAACUGCUUGCCUAAAACACGAGGGCAUUGCACCUUUGUGACUAACAGGACAAGCACUUCUCCCCUCCAGUGGCCGCAGACGAGUCUUCAGGAUUAAGUCAACAACUCCCCAAAUCACUUUAAUCUGAGGGCUGGGUUGUGGAGAACAUACUUAAAUCCUGACCAGAAUGAAAAGCACUUUUGUAAUAUAAUUAUUGUUAUUUCUUAUUAGCAACAAAGAAGAUUAGAAGCCGUUAUCUAGCCAAGAUGGUAUUUUUUUAUCUGAAACUCAAAUUUCUGUGAUUUACUCCCAGACGUAUUUUAUAUAAAACUGUCAUCAUUUGCCAGAUGAGCUAAGAGGCAAUACAGAUCUGCUUUAAAGGGUCUGGUUCUGAAUCAUUUUGUUUGUUUUUAUCAAAUAUUCCUCUAAAGUUUAAAGUGCACAAAAGAUGGAAGCAAGACAGAAGACUGGAUAAUAGCAUCUAUAUUUCUUCUUUGAUUCUUUUAUUCUUGUGAGUGCUUGAAAGCUUGCAGCACUUUUUCAAUAACAGUUACUGAGAAAAGGCUGACUUCAGCUUAUUCAUUCUGAACAUCUGGGCAGAACCUAACAACAGUAAUUAAAACCCACUAAAUUGGUAACAAUACCAAAUUGCCAGAGAUGAAAUACUGCACAUCGUCCCACCCUUCUUUGUGGAUUUCUGCUAGGUCAAUGCAGCCUGCUCUUGAAAAUCCAUUUCUACGUGUCUCUUUCUGAAGUCUCUGUCAAGAAAGAACAGUGCCCAAUUUUUCUGGUCACAUAAGCACUGCUCUUGGAUUUAUUUUUUUUACCACAAACCCCAGGAUAAAGUAAAGACUUGGAGUUAAUACAAUUGAUAGGUUUGUGGAUUCUGCUCUUUUCAAAUAAAUUAUAUACAAUAAUCUAUAAUAUCUGCUUCCUUGAUUUAGAUUGCAUCCUUGUUAGAAUACUUUUAAAAUAAUGAUUAAAUUACAUGUUGACAUUCAUGAAGAACGUGGAACUGAACCGUACAGAAAGUUACGGUCAUUUCUUCCUCUAGAUACUUUCUGUAUAACGAGGAGAGCAGUGAGAAGGCUUGCUUUAACCACUCCACUUGGUCAGAGCCACCUCCAGGCCGGGAAGUUUUGGUUUCCCCGCAGUCUGUUCAAUCCUUGAACAAGAAUAGUUGUCAGCAGCCUCAGCAUCAUUCUGCUAUCCCCAGAGUCACUGGGAGCAAAACAGAGCUCUUGAUUCUUAAAGCUGGCCCCAGGAAAUGCAGACAUCCAUGUUCUUUAAUAACUGAAGCUGCGGCUUACUUAGCAUGAGUAUUUCUGAGAUUGGAGGAGAAAAGUCAUCAUACCUUUCUUCAGGACUCUAGCUCUGCCUUGUGACACAGCUCAGCCCAAGGACCAACGGAUAAUGAAAAAUGAAGAACACUUACAACGUUUUCAGAGCAGAAGGGAACUAAUAUCUGCUUUAUAGCUGUUCCUAAGAGAAACACUGUGUUCCCUUUGCAAUGGGCUGCUUUUAAAUACUCCAAACAAAUGAUUUCUUCUGCAAAGCUCUUCUGAAUAUUAUAUCCCUACUGGUAAAAACUGUCAACAAUAUAUUGUUUUAACCCUACGUUAGGUCCCUUUCCUACUAUUGUUCUAGACACUCUCUUAAAAUGUAACAUUUCUUCUUAUAUUUUCAAAAGUCUCUACCUUUGA